GUACACGUGGAUAACCUACCUAUAAGACUGGGAUAACUUCGGGAAACCGGAGCUAAUACCGGAUAAUAUAUUGAACCGCAUGGUUCAAUGGUGAAAGACGGUUUUGCUGUCACUUAUAGAUGGAUCCGCGCCGCAUUAGCUAGUUGGCAAGGUAACGGCUUACCAAGGCAACGAUGCGUAGCCGACCUGAGAGGGUGAUCGGCCACACUGGAACUGAGACACGGUCCAG
rnacentral:rRNA from 1 species